rnacentral:rRNA from 1 species
UACGUAGGCAGCAAGCGUUGUUCGGAAUUACUGGGCGUAAAGAGUGUGUAGGCGGUGUUCUAAGUUUGUCGUGAAAUCUCCCGGCUUAACUGGGAGGGUGCGGCGAAAACUGGAAUGCUAGAGGAUGGGAGAGGUAAGCGGAAUUCCUGGUGUAGCGGUGAGAUGCGUAGAUAUCAGGAGGAACACCUGUGGUGUAGACAGCUUACUGGACCAUUUCUGACGCUGAGACACGAAAGCGUGGGUAGCAAACAGG